ensembl:lncRNA
GGGACGGAGGGACGGAGGGACGGAGGGAGGGAGGACAGAGGUACAAAACUGCUUAGAACUCACUCCUUCUAUUGAAUGAACUGAGGAAAGUGCCUGUCUAAAGAGGAAGAGAGUGGCUAAGUAGCCUGAAAGGAUAUUUAGCAAUUCUAGCUAAGCCCCAGAGAGAAUAUAUUCUGCAAAGAUUUGUGGUGUGUGUGUGUGUGUGUGUGUGUGUGUGUAAGAGAGAGACUGAGACAGAGACAGACCAGGAGGGAGAAUACAAACGUUGAGGACACCCAAUCUCCUACAGCUGCAGUUAUAGAUUCCUUGUGAGCCACCUGACAAGGGUGCUAGGAAUCAAACUCAGGUCCUCUGUAAAAGGAACAUACUCUCCUAGCCACUACUCCAUGUGUCCAGUCUGAGAGAGAGAGAAAAUACCUUUGAUAGAAAGAAGAGAACAGAGGCUUAAAUGAGAUUGUUCUAACCUUGAAGGAAAGCACUAUAAACUCAGGGCCACUUUUAACAUUCAAAUGACUAACACUAACAUAGACAUUCUGGGGGAGAAGUCUGAAUAAACAUUUUCAAGCAUGGCACAGGCAGCUCUGCAUUAAAGCUACUUGUAACUGGUCAUUCACCUCUCUUCCAUCGUCAAGCUACAAAAAUAAUAACAGAGUGUGAGUGCAAAGAUUUCUGAAGGGCAUGGCAAUUUGAAAGACGUCUGUGAUGGGGAAGAAAGACAGUUAUUGACCUGUAAGGUGACUGUAACUGAAAGUCAAAUCAUUAUCCACUUUAACUGACAGCCUCCUGUAACCACACAAGCUGUGCUGCUGAAGUUACCAGCAAGUGCCCUAAACUACUUGACACUGCAUUCCAGAAUCCCACAGUUCAGCCAAGGUCCUCCCAUGACUCUCUCCCGGCUUCAAUUUCUAUUUGCCAGCCUACUGUUGCAGUGUUUCAUGAUGUCACCCAAACUACAGGAAAUGGGGGCUGCAGGAAGGAGAUGUACUCCCAAGGACCUGCCUCCAGUGACCUACUUCCUGAAGAGUGCCUUCCCAAAAACCUCCAUGCUUGUUUUGUUCAAGAAGGGCAUGGCUUUGGAAACAAUUAUCCUACCAUCCUUAGCUGCCACAGUAGUAAACGUCACAAACAUCUAUCAAGAGCAGUUUGUGUGCCAGGCUGUCUGUCUGUUUCCCUCCUUCCUUUGGAAGCAGUCUUGGAGGGUGAAGGUACUGGAAGGAUGGGUCUGGGCAACACAUCCUGCAAGUGACUUGGAGAAUGAGCCUCGGGAUCACUGGGAAAGAAGCCAUUCGUCCUCCCUGCUCAAUGCUCAGCAGUCAUCUCUCACUUGCAUCAUUCACCAAAGGCAAAGCAAACCCACUGUUUUAUUAACUUCUGAUCCUGUUGAGAAAACCAAGUGAUGCAGACCAAGCAGUUACAGAAAAAGGGAAAGACCACAUCUCUACGGGAAAAAAAAAAUGCUUCUGUCAUUCAACUGGAUAUUGAUUUAUGCAAUUAUUCACUUGUUUUUUGGGGUGUUUUUUGUUUUUUUGUUUUUGUUUUUGUUUUUUUUUUUUUUUUUUUUGGUUUUUUGAGACAGGGUUUCUCUGUGACUUUGGAGGCUGUCCUGGAACUAGCUCUUGUAGACCAGGCUGGUCUCAAACUCACAGAGAUACGCCUGUCUCUGCCUCCCAAGUGCUGGGAUUAAAGGUGUGUGUCACCACCGCCCAGCUUAUUCACAUAUUUUUAAUGAAACCAAAACAGC